AGGUAGUUGCUUGGGGGAUGAGGUAGUGAGAGUGAGCGGCACGACAAUUAAACAUUUUACGCUGGAUGAGUUCAAUAGCAGAAAUCCCAUGGUAAUGGUUGUCAAUUGUAGUUAUGAGAACAGAAACUUCGGGGAUUAACAGAUCUAAGUUCCGGCAUGCGGAGAGGGGUGGGGGGAAGGGUGGAUAGACAUUUUAGGUAGGUUGGUUAGGAGUUGGUUUUCUGGAGGUCUAGUCAGCUUUUAGGAAGUGUAACCAAGGGCUCCAGGUACGUUCAUAGGUACUAUAGGAGUGUGACCUCGAG